rnacentral:rRNA from 1 species
UGGGGAAUAUUGGACAAUGGGCGAAAGCCUGAUCCAGCCAUGCCGCGUGUGUGAAGAAGGUCUUCGGAUUGUAAAGCACUUUAAGUUGGGAGGAAGGGCAGUAAGCUAAUACCUUGCUGUUUUGACGUUACCGACAGAAUAAGCACCGGCUAACUUCGUGCCAGCAGCCGCGGUAAUACGAAGGGUGCAAGCGUUAAUCGGAAUUACUGGGCGUAAAGCGCGCGUAGGUGGUUUGAUAAGUUGGAUGUGAAAGCCCCGGGCUCAACCUGGGAAUUGCAUCCAAAACUGUCUGGCUAGAGUAUGGCAGAGGGUGGUGGAAUUUCCUGUGUGGCGGUGAAAUGCGUAGAUAUAGGAAGGAACACCAGUGGCGAAGGCGACCACCUGGGCUAAUACUGACACUGAGGUGCGAAAGCGUGGGGAGCAAAACAGGAUUAGAUACCCUGGUAGUCCACGCGUAAACGAUGUCGACUAGCCGUUGGGGAUCCUUGAGAUCUUAGUGGCGCAGCU